UUCAGGAACAGGAAAAUCUGUAUAAUGAGUCAUCGAAUUAUUCACUGAACCAAUUUGUUUCAUUAAAAAAAAAAGCUGAUUAAUUCAAGAAAGCAAUAAGAGAAUGUCCUUAUAAAUAACUUAUUGCAUCAUUCAAAUAAUUUGUUUAAGAAAAAAAAAAUUAUUAAGGAACAAAACACCACUACAGUGUUUUGCUGAGAAGCUUAACAGUUCUGUUGUGGCUUUGCUUGGAAGUAUUUGCAUCGGUGGAGCAGAAACAGACAGCAAAAUAGCAGAAGUAACUGGAUCUAGCAUGGAAAAAAACCUGAGAGGGUUCCGGGUGUCAUCACAGAUGAGGGACUUCAAUCAUCAUGCAAAUGAAUUUACCCAAGAUGCCACGCAACUGCAGGAUAAACCUUAGCGAGUCAAAGGAGCUACACUGCUCAAACACACCGUGACAUGUUUACAUAUUGCCAAUUAAUAAUCCAAGAAAAGACCGCAGACACGUGUUUGCAGAUUCCUCAGUGUUUGGUUUAGAGAUACAAAAGAUUAAUAAUGAUGAAGCUCAGUGUCAAGAGACGACCGCAGACAGAUGAACACGUCUCCACUUGAGAUGUGAGGAAAGAGAGGGAGGAAAUGAAAAAGCAGAUAUCAGGCACAGAACGGCUGAUCAGAAGCGAAGACAGAAGUGGCUUCAGGACUGCCGCAGUAUCGCUGCCAAGAACAGCAGCAGAUGCUUGUGAAAACUAGAGCGGCCUGGAUGCUUGAACUCCACCUGACCUUGAACACACACCCUAGUCUCUGGACAGACACAUAAAGACCGGGUUUAAAAGUGCUCCAGUUGACCACAAAUCAACCCCCGGGUGGAGGGAGGUCACUGUUGCGCGGUGAGAACUGUCAGUGAGUGGUGAGUCCCUGCUUGACUUUACGACCUUCUCUUUCAUGAAGUCACAAGUACCUUUAGUGCAGUAAUGGUACGGUCCUGCAUCCAAGAGACAAAAAUAACCACCCGUCCACUGCACGGUCACUCUCCAAGAUAAUCAAAAUUUUCAUAUGACAGCACUCAAAAAGGAAGCAUAAUUCAACCAAAACAAUAAAGCAUCACAUUGGUUGGCAGAUAUGAAAGCUGUG
ensembl:lncRNA